rnacentral:rRNA from 1 species
UGCAGUCUGCAACUCGACUGCAUGAAGCUGGAAUCGCUAGUAAUCGCGAAUCAGCAUGUCGCGGUGAAUACGUUCCCGGGCCUUGUACACACCGCCCGUCACACCAUGGGAGUUGGAAGCACCCGAAGUCGGUGACCUGACCGUAAGGAGGGAGCCGCCGAAGGUGAAGCCAGCGACUGGGGUGAAGUCGUAACAAGGUACC